AGGGUCAUAGCUCAGUGGUAAAGUAUUUGUUUUGUAUGCAGAAGGUCCCAGGUUCAAUCCCUGGUGGUUCCA